rnacentral:rRNA from 1 species
GAUGAACGCUGGCGGCGUGCCUAAUACAUGCAAGUCGAGCGAACGGACGAGAAGCUUGCUUCUCUGAUGUUAGCGGCGGACGGGUGAGUAACACGUGGAUAACCUACCUAUAAGACUGGGAUAACUUCGGGAAACCGGAGCUAAUACCGGAUAAUAUUUUGAACCGCAUGGUUCAAAAGUGAAAGACGGUCUUGCUGUCACUUAUAGAUGGAUCCGCGCUGCAUUAGCUAGUUGGUAAGGUAACGGCUUACCAAGGCAACGAUGCAUAGCCGACCUGAGAGGGUGAUCGGCCACACUGGAACUGAGACACGGUCCAGCCUCCUACGGGAGGCAGCAGUAGGGAAUCUUCCGCAAUGGGCGAAAGCCUGACGGAGCAACGCCGCGUGAGUGAUGAAGGUCUUCGGAUCGUAAAACUCUGUUAUUAGGGAAGAACAUAUGUGUAAGUAACUGUGCACAUCUUGACGGUACCUAAUCAGAAAGCCACGGCUAACUACGUGCCAGCAGCCGCGGUAAUACGUAGGUGGCAAGCGUUAUCCGGAAUUAUUGGGCGUAAAGCGCGCGUAGGCGGUUUUUUAAGUCUGAUGUGAAAGCCCACGGCUCAACCGUGGAGGGUCAUUGGAAACUGGAAAACUUGAGUGCAGAAGAGGAAAGUGGAAUUCCAUGUGUAGCGGUGAAAUGCGCAGAGAUAUGGAGGAACACCAGUGGCGAAGGCGACUUUCUGGUCUGUAACUGACGCUGAUGUGCGAAAGCGUGGGGAUCAAACAGGAUUAGAUACCCUGGUAGUCCACGCCGUAAACGAUGAGUGCUAAGUGUUAGGGGGUUUCCGCCCCUUAGUGCUGCAGCUAACGCAUUAAGCACUCCGCCUGGGGAGUACGACCGCGAGGUUGAAACUCAAAGGAAUUGACGGGGACCCGCACAAGCGGUGGAGCAUGUGGUUUAAUUCGAAGCAACGCGAAGAACCUUACCAAAUCUUGACAUCCUUUGACAACUCUAGAGAUAGAGCUUUCCCCUUCGGGGGACAAAGUGACAGGUGGUGCAUGGUUGUCGUCAGCUCGUGUCGUGAGAUGUUGGGUUAAGUCCCGCAACGAGCGCAACCCUUAAGCUUAGUUGCCAUCAUUAAGUUGGGCACUCUAAGUUGACUGCCGGUGACAAACCGGAGGAAGGUGGGGAUGACGUCAAAUCAUCAUGCCCCUUAUGAUUUGGGCUACACACGUGCUACAAUGGACAAUACAAAGGGCAGCGAAACCGCGAGGUCAAGCAAAUCCCAUAAAGUUGUUCUCAGUUCGGAUUGUAGUCUGCAACUCGACUACAUGAAGCUGGAAUCGCUAGUAAUCGUAGAUCAGCAUGCUACGGUGAAUACGUUCCCGGGUCU